GGGUUUAUAGUUCAAUGGCAGAACACGUUGCUCAUAACGACGCAGUUGUAGGUUCAACUCCUGCUAAACCCG
rfam:Amborella trichopoda AMTR_V1.0_contig_45073, whole genome shotgun sequence.